GCCCAUGUGGGGAUGGAACCCACACCCCUGGCAUUUUAAGCACUAGGCUCUCAAAACUGAGCUAAUUUGGGGUCAGCUCACUUUUUGGGGUUCAAAGGCCUGACUAGAUUUUUGAUCUGUUCUUGGCCAUGUUUAGAGCAAGAGGUAAAGCCAUCUGAGGUACUUUGCAACCUGACUGGGUGUUUCUCCUGCUUGCCUACAGCCCCUGCUCUUGGCUGCAACACCGUUCUGCUGCCCUGUGUAAUUUCAGGUCAGUGAAGAUUUCUACACCAAACUCCAGCUAGACCAUCUAGAGGAUGUGCUUGGGGAAACGCCACAUUCAGAAGGAUUUUGUGCUCCUGCCUUCACAAGAGCCAUCAGAACCAGCUGCACUUCGGAGAAUGAGCCAGAGUCACCCUGGGCUUGGAAAGCUGCUGGG
rnacentral:lncRNA from 1 species